rnacentral:sRNA from 1 species
AGUGAACAUUCACAUUAUAUACAUCUGUGAAAACACAUUUGAUAGUUUAAUAAAUAAAUUUAAUCAAAAGUUACUUAAAGAUAAAAAUGGUAUCAUAUAUUAUGAGACACUCUGUAUUUCUGUAUAACUCUUUUCAAUUUUUUAUUCAUAUUUCAAAAUUACACACUAGCAGUUACGUAAAACAUGAUAUUGUCUCCGAGUAUAAUAGCGAUAAUUUGACUACAAUUAUUAGUCAAAUUACUGAACAUCUCAUCUUUUGUGUAUUUCAAAAUCAUUUUCGUUUGAUUUUGCUAUUGCGAUAAAUGUUUGAAUUUGUAAUUGGUUCAAAUUCGAUAAAUUUCAUAUUUAAGAAGUAACGUUUAUUAACAAUCUAUGAAAUGUAUGUACUUGUCAAUCAAGGAAAGAAGACACAGGUAUAGUUUACAGUAUAUAAUGAAUUUUUAAAAAUCUUCUUCAUAAGCAAGACAAGAUGAAUUAAAAAAAAAUGAAUCGAAUUAAAAUUCAUUAUACGACGUGAUCGAAUGAAGUAAUAGACCAACCAGAGAAGAUAACUCUCGGUAAACAACGCUUCAUUCCUCUUCUUUCAUCUUUUCAGAGUUUGUUCGACAAUGGGUUUAUAAUACUAUUAUAGAAGAAUAACAAAAUACAGUAAAUAUUUUGAUGUAGAAACCAAACUUGGUUUCUUUUUUAUUGGUUACUAGUAUGUCUUAGUUCAGUUAUAACAUACAUUACUCUAAAUAAAAAAAAUAUAUUUUGCUGGUGGCUUAUAUAAAGAGUCAGAAAUUGCUUUUUCUAUAGAUACACUUUACCUUUAUUAUUCAGUAUCUUGUUUGACAAUAGUGCAAUCAACAUGAUUGGCUUAAGGUCGUUAACUUUUCUGAAGGACUAGAGUAGACAGCUAAAAAAAAAUUUCAUCAUUAAAUUUGUCUUCCACAGAACAAAAUCUUACAUUUUAAAGAUGGAACAUAUUGCAAGUCGUUUUUAUGUUGAUAACUUUUCAAGUAUAUUUUUAGAAAUUGAACCCACAUAUGUACGAACCUUCUUUAUGCAAAUAUAUGCAUAACCCUUUCCAAAAGCAUAUUUCAUAGGGAUGAAUUGAAUUUUACUAGUUGUUUGUUUGUUCAGAUUGUCGAUAAUGUCAUAGUUAUUGUGAAUAUAAGAUAUAUGUUAUUGUUUUUGCUUCAGAUCUGAUCGAAAUAUUGGCCUGAAAUAAAACCAUGC